ACGUUGAAGACUAUCUCAAACAAGAUGAUGGUGGGUAUAAAAUGCAGGGCGAUGGUGGCGGAGACGAUGACGACCGUGAGUCGCCGAUUGUUGAGCCGGUAACGCUGCAUGAUUUGCUCAUUCAGCAACUGGGUUAUUUCAGAAUGGAUGAGCGCAAAGAACUUGUCGCCAGACAGCUCAUUGGUA
rnacentral:misc_RNA from 1 species